CAGGAGAUAGUUUAAGUAAAACAUAAGCUUUGGGAGUUUAAGAUGGUAGUUUACCUUUUCUGA
rnacentral:tRNA from 1 species